rnacentral:rRNA from 1 species
AUUAGAGUUUGAUCCUGGCUCAGAUUGAACGCUGGCGGCAUGCCUUACACAUGCAAGUCGAACGGUAACGCGGGGCAACCUGGCGACGAGUGGCGAACGGGUGAGUAAUAUAUCGGAACGUGCCCAGUAGUGGGGGAUAGCCCGGCGAAAGCCGGAUUAAUACCGCAUACGACCUAAGGGUGAAAGCGGGGGAUCGCAAGACCUCGCGCUAUUGGAGCGGCCGAUAUCAGAUUAGGUAGUUGGUGGGGUAAAAGCCUACCAAGCCUGCGAUCUGUAGCUGGUCUGAGAGGACGACCAGCCACACUGGGACUGAGACACGGCCCAGACUCCUACGGGAGGCAGCAGUGGGGAAUUUUGGACAAUGGGCGCAAGCCUGAUCCAGCCAUGCCGCGUGCGGGAAGAAGGCCUUCGGGUUGUAAACCGCUUUUGUCAGGGAAGAAACGCUCUGGGCUAAUACCCUGGGGUAAUGACGGUACCUGAAGAAUAAGCACCGGCUAACUACGUGCCAGCAGCCGCGGUAAUACGUAGGGUGCAAGCGUUAAUCGGAAUUACUGGGCGUAAAGCGUGCGCAGGCGGUCUUGCAAGACAGAUGUGAAAUCCCCGGGCUCAACCUGGGAACUGCAUUUGUGACUGCAAGGCUAGAGUACGGCAGA